ensembl:lncRNA PCAT6 prostate cancer associated transcript 6
AAAGAGCCUAGCCACGGGCGCUGACUGGCCGGCAGCCGGGCGCGUCAUCCUCCGGGGGCGGGGCCCGGGCCGCAUUGUCUCGUCUAGGGCCGGCUGGACGCCCCAGAGGCCGGACCUGGGCAACCCCAGCCUGGAGGUGCCGGGGCCGGAGCUCCCAGAGGGCUGGGUGCGAGGCCUAGGCGGGGUCAGGUUCGGGUUCCUAGGCCAUAGCGGAGCUGCAGCCCAGGCGGCCGGAGCGGAACCCAGCCCCGCUCCGAGUGCCACGUCUCCAGGAACCCCCUCCUUACUCUUGGACAACACUCCGCCCCCGCCCGGGCCUCCGUCCCCCAAACCGCCCUCAUUUGUGCAGCGCCAGAUCCUUCGGACACAUCCCUAGGUGUCUCCAUCCUCAUUCGGUCCAUCCAACUCCCAGACCUCACGUCAACCGGCUGCACCCCACUUUCCAGCCUGCGCCCCAGAUCUGCAGCCUUCGCCCCUAGAUACACCCGCCUGGUGAUGAGGCGCUCCUCGCGUUCCUUCCGGUAACCGCGUUGCGAAGACCACGCUGCCGGGUUGCAAACUUGGGGGGACUUCCUCCCUCCCCUCCCCCUGGGCGCCGUGCAACUGCCCUGGGACCGGGUUCUGGGAUGAGGGGGGCAGACCGGGCUCCCCAGCGGCCGGCGCAGCACGUAGCGCACGUGUAGGGUCCGCUCCCCACCCCCUCGCCGCCUCUGACAACUUUUCAGGGCUCCAGGUGUCCGUGAGCCUCCCUUCCGCCCUGGCCUCCGGUCUCUGCCUUGCUCGUGCUUCUACCACCACCCUUCCCCUCCCAACCCGGUGGAUCCUCUCGUCUCCCCCAGUCUCCAGUGCACCGGCUUUCCCUCGUCCUCUGCGCAGUCCAUCUCAGCUCAUCUCUCCAAUUCAAUGCCAUCAUCUCUCCUCACCAUCUCUCGGUGCCCUGGAAUGUUUGCUGUCAGAUGUCCCCUGUGAAACCCACAAACGCUUGCGAUUUGGCCUCCUUGUUUUAUUUUGUGUAGUCCUACAACGUCUUGUUACUACCCCCUAUUACAACACUUAUAACUCAGUAUUUGUCUUUUUUCCGCGGUGUCCCUGCACUCUCCCCAUACAUAUUCCUCUCCUGCCAGAUUGUAAGCCUCUAGAGGGAAGAAGUAAUGUCUCUCUCCUUGGCACCAGGCACGUGGCACACGCUCCACAAAUAUUUGUUGAAAGGGAGGGUAAAUGGCCUUGAGUUUCUGUGGCUACCAUUGGCUGAGGAUGGAGCUUUGGGCUGGACAAAGAAGAAUCUGGUUGACCACAUGAAGCAGGAAGGAGGCUCAGAACGGUGUUGAGGGAGCCUCCACAAUGGGUGGGCACCACAGGUGAGAUAAACCCAUCCUCCCCCAUUCCCUGCCCUGCUUAAUUCCCGGGAACCAGCAACCCCUCCUAUGCUAUCGUCUACUGCUGAGCUGGUCCCUUAUGGUGGACUUCUGUGCUCACUGUUCUGCUUUAGCCCCAGCUGUCGGGGCUGCCCUUGGGGAACAGCUUACACCUUGACCAGGCGCUCAUUUCUGGGUUUCUGUUCUUGGGAAGCUGGGUCUGGGUCCUGGGAGCCACCUGGUAACUAAUAAAUACCUCUUCCUCCUCC